AGUGAACGCUGGCGGUAGGCCUAACACAUGCAAGUCGAACGGCAGCACAGUAAGAGCUUGCUCUUAUGGGUGGCGAGUGGCGGACGGGUGAGGAAUACAUCGGAAUCUACUUUUUCGUGGGGGAUGACGUAGGGAAACUUACGCUAAUACCGCAUACGACCUACGGGUGAAAGCAGGGGAUCUUCGGACCUUGCGCGAUUGAAUGAGCCGAUGUCGGAUUAGCUAGUUGGCGGGGUAAAGGCCCACCAAGGCGACGAUCCGUAGCUGGUCUGAGAGGAUGAUCAGCCACACUGGAACUGAGACACGGUCCAGACUCCUACGGGAGGCAGCAGUGGGGAAUAUUGGACAAUGGGCGCAAGCCUGAUCCAGCCAUACCGCGUGGGUGAAGAAGGCCUUCGGGUUGUAAAGCCCUUUUGUUGGGAAAGAAAAGCAGCAGGUUAAUACCCCGCUGUUCUGACGGUACCCAAAGAAUAAGCACCGGCUAACUUCGUG
rnacentral:rRNA from 1 species